rnacentral:rRNA from 1 species
GAUGAACGCUGGCGGCGUGCCUAAUACAUGCAAGUCGAGCGAACGGACGAGAAGCUUGCUUCUCUGAUGUUAGCGGCGGACGGGUGAGUAACACGUGGAUAACCUACCUAUAAGACUGGGAUAACUUCGGGAAACCGGAGCUAAUACCGGAUAAUAUUUUGAACCGCAUGGUUCAAAAGUGAAAGACGGUCUUGCUGUCACUUAUAGAUGGAUCCGCGCUGCGUUAGCUAGUUGGUAAGGUAACGGCUUACCAAGGCAACGAUGCAUAGCCGACCUGAGAGGGUGAUCGGCCACACUGGAACUGAGACACGGUCCAGACUCCUACGGGAGGCAGCAGUAGGGAAUCUUCCGCAAUGGGCGAAAGCCUGACGGAGCAACGCUGCGUGAGUGAUGAAGGUCUUCGGAUCGUAAAACUCUGUUAUUAGGGAAGAACAUAUGUGUAAGUAACUGUGCACAUCUUGACGGUACCUAAUCAGAAAGCCACGGCUAACUACGUG